UACGAAGGGGGCUAGCGUUGUUCGGAAUCACUGGGCGUAAAGGGUGCGCAGGCGGAUCUUUUAGUCAGGGGUGAAAUCCCGAGGCUCAACCUCGGAACUGCCCUUGAUACUGGGGAUCUUGAGUCCGGAAGAGGUGGGUGGAACUGCGAGUGUAGAGGUGAAAUUCGUAGAUAUUCGCAAGAACACCGGUGGCGAAGGCGGCCCACUGGUCCGGAACUGACGCUGAGGCACGACAGCGUGGGGAGCAAACAGG
rnacentral:rRNA from 1 species